GUAUUGGUGCCCGUGCUGUUUCUUCUUCUCCUUCCAGGCGUCUCCAGCCGCGUCGAGCCCGGGCGCGAAGCAUCCGCGACGGCGUGCCAAUAGAUUAGACUACGGCGGCAGCACAGGUCAGGAACGGAUAGAGGAUAGAUCGAUCGGUCGGGGGCGGUGGGUCUGUCGAUCGACGCGGCUGGAGCGCGCGAGCCGGCAAUUUCCCCGCGCGGUUGGGACCGAAUCGGAUCGGAUCGGCGCCGGAGGAGGCGUGUGGGGGUCGGCCUCGCAUGCCGCGGCGCCGGCACAGCCCAUGUCCCGCAUGAAGCACCUGCUGCGCAAGCUCCACCUCGCGGGGGGCGCCCCCGCCGGGGGAGCGGGCGCGGCGCCCGACCACCACCGCCCGCGGCACCGGCGCUCGGGGCACCCGACGGCGACCGCCCCUCCGUCGCCGCCGCUCGUCGUCGCGGCGGCGGGGGCGCCGGAGCCGCCGGAGCCGGCGGGAGCCACGCCCGCCGCGGCCGUGGCGGUGGCGGUGGCCCCCGCGGCUGGGGAGCCGAGGGGCCUCGGGGCGGAGGCCGCCACGACGCGGCUGGAGGAGGACUACCAGGUGCGCCUCGCGCUCGCGAUCUCGGCCUCGGACCACGCGGGGCUCGUCGACGCGGACUCGGUCCAGAUCCGCGCGGCCGAGCUCAUCAGCCUCGGCGGCGCCGCCGCGGGGGCCGCCGGCCACGACCGGAGCCCCGCGGAGGCGCUCUCCGCGCGCUACUGGAACCACAGCGUCGUCAACUACGACGAGCACCUCCCCGACGGCUUCUACGACGUCUGCGGCGCGCAGCUGCAUCCCGGCUUCCAGGCCAAGUUCCCCUCCCUCGGCUACCUCAGGGCGGUCCCGCCGGGCCGCGACGUCGCCUUCCUGGCCGUCCUCGUGGACCGGGAGCGCGAUCCUGCCCUAAAACGCCUGGAGGAUAGGGCUGCGGUGGUUGCGGUGCAGACGAGGGCGCAGCAUGGUGGUGCUGCUUCGGCGGAGCUUGCGCAGAGGAUUGCGGGUCUGGUUGUUAAUGCGAUGGGCGGUCUGGUGGAGGAUGCUGAUGGGAUGAACAGGGAAUGGGGCAUCAAGAGCCGGGGGCUCUCGCUCCAGCUGAACAGUAUUGUUCUUCCUCUUGGUUCGCUUCGGGUUGGGCUGUCACGGCACAGAUCGCUACUAUUUAAGGUACUCGCUGACCGAGUCAAUCUUCCAUGUAAGCUUGUGAAAGGAAUAUGUUACACUGGAACAGAUGAAGGGGCUGUUAAUUUGGUCAGAGUUGAUUUUGACAGCACUGAAUAUAUUAUUGAUCUGAUGGGAGCUCCAGGCACCUUAAUCCCUUCAGAUAUUUCUGGCAGUCAGUUUCAGGAUUCCAACAAUAGCCAACUGGGCAGUGAUGCCAUUGAAGAGAGUGUCGCAGAAUUGUGCUUAGCUCUUGAGCAGAUUAAUGGUGGAUAUGAGAACAGAAAUGACAUUGGAGGAAGUUCAUCUGAUCACAGUUCUAUUUUAGCGCUCACUUCAAAUCUGGCAGAUUUUUCUCAGGCAGAACUCAAACAAAAUGUUAUCGCUGAGGAAGAUCUCGAAGGGGAAAUUUCUGAGCCUAUUAAAGUCAAUGAUGUUUCCAAAUAUGUUGUGCCUGAAGUAGUGGACCCGCAGUUUGCACAAAAUUUGCAUGACCUACUUCUGGAGAGUGGUGCAUUGCUACCCGCUGAUUUAAUACCUGAUCAAAAUAGUCACAAAAUACAUGAUAAUGAAAGUGGAGGAUGGUUACUUGUUGCUCAAACAGGGAAAGAUUAUCCAAAUAGUUUUGUAGCUAAAGAUUCUUCAUCACCUUAUGAAAAUACACAACACCAUGCGGAAAAUACAGAAGAAAUCAUCAGAGAUUUGGAUUUGCAUGAUCAUACCAGUAGUGCUAUUUCCAUUGAGGAUCAAAGGGUUGCUGAAGAUUCUUUGGUGAACAUGUCGGGAAGUAGCAAUGGAAAUUUGGACAAUUUAAGCUGGUCUAGUACAAAAACAAUCAGCUCAGUUAUAGAUGAUGUUGCUGAAUAUGAAAUGCCAUGGGAAGAUCUUGAUAUUGGAGAACGUAUUGGUUUAGGUUCAUAUGGGGAAGUUUAUCAUGCGGAUUGGAAUGGCACGGAGGUUGCAGUGAAGAAAUUUCUUGACCAGGAUUUAUCAGGUGUUUCACUCGAGCAAUUUAAAUGUGAAGUGAGAAUCAUGUCGAGAUUAAGGCAUCCCAACGUUGUUCUUUUCUUGGGAUAUGUGACACAGCCGCCAAAUCUCUCUAUAUUAACUGAGUACCUCCCAAGGGGGAGUCUAUAUCGCCUGUUGCAUCGGCCAAAUAGUCAAGUCGAUGAAGUACGGAGGUUAAAAAUGGCACUAGAUGUGGCAAAAGGGAUGAACUACCUGCACUCCAGCCAUCCUACCAUUGUUCACCGUGAUCUGAAAUCCCCAAAUCUUUUAGUGGAUAAGAAUUGGGUUGUUAAGGUGUCUGAUUUUGGCAUGUCAAGGUUGAAACAUCAUACUUUUCUUUCCUCUAAGUCAACUGCUGGAACAGUAAUACCUCUCAUCCUUUUUAAUUUUUUUUUGUUCAUAUUGAUUGUUUGGUAUUUGAUAUGCUACAGACAGAACAUACUGCAAGCUAGAUCACUGAAUCCUCAUACCGAUUCACCACUAAAUUGGAGUUAACAUAAGCCAGAGUGGAUGGCACCUGAGGUACUACGGAAUGAACCAUCAAAUGAGAAGUGUGAUGUUUACAGUUUUGGAGUAAUCCUAUGGGAACUAGCAACCAUGCGUGUACCAUGGAGUGGGUUGAAUCCAAUGCAAGUUGUAGGAGCAGUUGGGUUCCAGAACAGACGACUAGACAUCCCCAAGGAAGUGGACCCGCAGGUGGCCAGCAUAAUAUCUUCAUGCUGGGAUAAUGAUCCGAGCAAAAGGCCGUCAUUUUCCCAGCUCUUGUCACCUCUAAAGCAAUUGCAACGUUUAGUUGUUACAGGAAGCUGCUGACAUACCUUUCCUGAGACAAAUCUCAGGACACAGAUAUUCAAGUAUUUAAGCUCUACCACAGGGCUAAAAUUUUCAUGUUGAAGCUCGUGGAGAUAUAUUCAGAAUCUCUGCAGUGUAGAUGUGUAUGGGCAAAGGUUCUACACAUCACCUUGUGAAAAUGUGAGUCUCUGAAGCGGCGCAAAGGUGCUGUUGGAGAAAGCGUAGUGUGUAGUCUCAAAUGAAGAAAAGUGGUGCGACACGAAGUGCUCUGUGCCAUGGUAAAUAAUUGUUCAGUUCUGGAUUUUGAACUGGUGAUUCUGAGAAUCAGAAUUCACCACAAAGAUAGGAUCUUGAAGUUUUUCACCACGUCUUACAAAAGAUGAAAAAAGAUGUCAAAAUUUCUGGUGCCUGCAAAAAGUUGCAGCCCGAUGUUGACCACAUGCAAAUGUAUAUCAUGUAUACAGAUGCUACCUUGCUUUUUUGUGAAUGUGCAUUUAAUACUUUUGGCUAUCGUUU